GAUAACGGAAGGUAGUCUAAGAACGCAACGUCCUGUCGCAACGACUACAUGAUCAGCAUCCUGCUGA
rnacentral:sRNA from 1 species